rnacentral:misc_RNA from 1 species
AACAAAACUUAAAAGCAUCAAAGUACCUGAAUUAAGAGAAGUACAACUACUAACAAAUGGGUGCUGUUUUCCCUAAGAAACAUUUGAAAAUAAAUCUAACGAAAAUACUUCAAUUGGUAAAUGGCAAGAAUACCAAUUUCCAUCUACUCCCAGCCUGAGACAGCACCGUCCACUGGUGCAGCAGCCUCAAAUCCAGUAGGGACAGCAGCAGGAGGCGGUGGUGCAACCAUAUCCCAGCCACCAUCAACCAAUUGAGGAGCUUGGGCUGCUGCCCAAUCACCCUCAGGGGCUGCUGCAACAGGAUCAGCACCCCACUGGUCAGUUGUGAUUCCGCCUGUAUAUCCAGUAGCAGGAGCAUAGUCAACAGGAGCUAUAACCUCCUCUUCCUCUUGUUCCUUGGCCUCCUCAGGAUCCCUAUAGAAAAACAAAUCAACCAUCACAUCCCAUUUGUG